rnacentral:rRNA from 1 species
UACAGAGGUCCCAAGCGUUGUUCGGAUUCACUGGGCGUAAAGGGUGCGUAGGUGGCGGAUUAAGUCGGAUGUGAAAUCUCCGAGCUCAACUCGGAAACUGCAUUGGAAACUGCUCUGCUCGAGGGUUGGAGGGGGGACUGGAAUGCUUGGUGUAGCAGUGAAAUGCGUAGAUAUCAAGCGGAACACCAGUGGCGAAGGCGAGUCCCUGGACAACUCCUGACACUGAGGCACGAAAGCUAGGGGAGCAAACAGG